UUCCUCCGGGAGGCGGCAGUGGGGAAUAUUGGACAAUGGGCGCAAGCCGGAUCCAGCCAUCCCUCAGGAGUGAUGAAGGCUUUAGGGUUGUAAAGCUCUUUUGUCCGGGACGAUAACCCGGUCCCGGAAGAAUAAGCCCCGGCUAACUUGGUGCCAGCAGCCGGGGGUAAUCCGAAGGGGGCAGGCUUUUCUCGGAAUCUCUGGGCUUAAGCGGCGCGUGGGCGGGUUUUUUAAUUCGGGGGGGAAACCCCGGGGCUCACCCCCAGAAUUGCCUUUAAUACUGGUAGCCUUGAGACCGGAGAGGGACGGCGAAACUCCGAGUGUGGGGGGAAAAUUCGUAAAUAUUGGCAAGAACCCCAGUGGCGAAGGCGCCUUUCUGGCCCAUUUCUGCCGCGGAGCGCCAAAAGCGGGGGGGGCAAACAGGAUAAAACCCCCUGGUGUCCCCGCCAUAACGAUGAAUGUCACCGUUGUCUCUGCAGUCAGUGCGCAGCUAACGCAUUAAGCAUGCGCCUGGAGACGCCCUA
rnacentral:rRNA from 1 species